UAAGUCUUAUUUACAGCAUUUUCUGAGCAGUUGUUUUUCUCUGAGCGCAUACAAUAUGCUUCAACAUUUCUUUGGACUUGUUUGUCUCUCGACAGUUUCACAGCUUGUACUUUUCACAGAGACCCGUGGACCAGUGGUCAGUUUGCAGGUCUUAAUGACCCUUACCCCCGGAUUCACAAACAAGGCUUAAGAUAGUCCAAGUGGAACUCUCACUAUAACAGAUUCAACACCUGAGGAACUGUCCUGCAUUGCAAACAAUUCUGUUGGCACUGACAUCAGACAUGUAAAACUGUCUAAACAAGGCAACUCUCCAAACUACAUUCCAUAUGUUGUAGUGGUACUGCUUGUUUUAUUCAUCGGAUUUUUUCUCUGUGUGUGUAAAAAGUUAUUUUGACUUGAUUUUGAAUCUACUGGAAAUCAUCAAAUAGUCAGUGAAACAGCAAUGGAGGAAAAUGCUUACAUUGAACAAAAAUUAUAUAUAGAAAAUUGCAAUGAAUAAAUAAAUAUGUUCGAUAAAAUUCUGCAUAAUGUGUAAAAACUCAUAGUAUACAACAUGCGCUGUCACUUGUAUGACUAUUUAUGAUGUUAGUGUCAUAGGAGAAUGUUUGAGAUGAUAAAGAUGCGUCUAAAACGUAUCAAGUUAUCUUGUCACAUGACAACAAAAUGUUUUCCUGUAUGUUGACUGACUUUUAUUUGCUGUACAAAAGUGUUACUCACUAUGUUGUGAGAUUGUCAAAUGUUGGUUUAAUGUGUGAAAAGAAAAAUCUCUCUUUUGUGGUAAAUAACUUAAAUUUCAUUUGUUAGAAAUGUGCAGAUAUUUAAAAAAAAAAAAAACAUCACCCCAGAUUCAUGUUUGAAGAUGACGGACAAUCUCCUAGCUAGAAAUUUGAUUUCAAUUUAUUAAUUUUAAUUUAAGUACUUCUUCUUUAAACCUCUUCUUUUUUGUGUGACUUUAGUAUUGACAGAUAGUAAUAUGCCUGUUUUGUUCUUUUAAUAAUGAUGCAGUAAAGGAGACAAAAAUGCUGUACAAAAUGUUUUGAAAUAAAAUGUUUUUCUUUCUUUC